CAAUUUAAAGCUUAGAUAGUAAAGUAUUUCAUUUACAUUGAAAAGAAAUUUGUGCAAAUCAAUUUAAAUUGA
rnacentral:tRNA from 1 species